AGUGAACGCUGGCGGUAGGCCUAACACAUGCAAGUUGAACGGCAGCACAGGAGAGCUUGCUCUCUGGGUGGCGAGUGGCGGACGGGUGAGGAAUACAUCGGAAUCUACUCUGUCGUGGGGGAUAACGUAGGGAAACUUACGCUAAUACCGCAUACGACCUACGGGUGAAAGCAGGGGAUCUUCGGACCUUGCGCGAUUGAAUGAGCCGAUGUCGGAUUAGCUAGUUGGCGGGGUAAAGGCCCACCAAGGCGACGAUCCGUAGCUGGUCUGAGAGGAUGAUCAGCCACACUGGAACUGAGACACGGUCCAGACUCCUACGGGAGGCAGCAGUGGGGAAUAUUGGACAAUGGGCGCAAGCCUGAUCCAGCCAUACCGCGUGGGUGAAAAAGGCCUUCGGGUUGUAAAGCCCUUUUGUUGGGAAAGAAAUCCAGCUGGCUAAUACCCGGUUGGGAUGACGGUACCCAAAGAAUAAGCACCGGCUAACUUCGUGCCAGCAGCCGCCGUAA
rnacentral:rRNA from 1 species